UACGGAGGGGGCUAGCGUUGUUCGGAAUUACUGGACGUAAAGCGCGCGUAGGCGGACCUGCAAGUCGGGGGUGAAAGCCCGAGGCUCAACCUCGGAACUGCCUUCGAUACUGCGGGUCUCGAGUCCGGGAGAGGUGAGUGGAAUUCCUAGUGUAGAGGUGAAAUUCGUAGAUAUUAGGAAGAACACCAGUGGCGAAGGCGGCUCACUGGCCCGGUACUGACGCUCAUGCACGAAAGCGUGGGGAGCAAACAGG
rnacentral:rRNA from 1 species